UUUCUCAGAAAGCUCUUGGCGGUGGGAAGUCUGCUCUGGACAUAUAUUUGGAUGAGCCAUUACUUCAUAUGGCCGCUUACAAGAAACUGAAUGUGUUACAUUACUGGAGAGACAACUCAGCUAUUUCAAAGAGUUGGCGACAAUGGCUCGAGAGGUUCUGAGUAUACCCAUAACAAAAAUGGCUUCGGAAUCUUUGUUUAGCAUACGUAGUAGAGUGCUUAACAAGUAUAUGAGUUGCCUUCUACCUACUAAUGUCCAAGCUUGUCUAUAAAAGAAAUUGGUUAAAAGGGUUUCCAGAAAAUGGUGAAAAAGAAGAAGAGGAUAAAGACAAGGAGAAAGAAGAAGAGAGUGGAGAGUCUAGAGACUUGACUUGAGGCUGAAGACAAGUAGACAAGCUGGAAGCUGGAAUCAAGUGAUUCAGAGAGUUACAAUUUUUUUUACGUAAAACAGAGUUGUAAUUUUUUAACAUAA